ACAGCCGCUGGGGGGGGGGGGGGUUGCUCCGAGGUGGGCAGGUGGGAGGGCGGGGCGGGCAGGGCGGAGUGAGCCCGGCCCGCGCCUAGGUUGGGUGACCGGUGGCGUCAGCCCGGGACGGCAGAGGCUCCGGCGAGCCCCGGGUAGUCAUGCCACGUCUCCGGGACCCCCCCCCCAACUCUGAGCUCCGCCCUGGCCUCCCUCCCACCGCCGGGGCCCCCCAUCUCCCAAGUCUCCGCGUAGCCCGAACCUCAGCCCCUGGCGCACUCUGAAGGGCCGGCGGCUGUCACCCCGAGGGGCGCGAUCUGCGCGCCCGCACACCCUCCUCCGCGGGACGCCCCCGCCCCGCCCCCGCCCGGACACCGACAACAGCCCCCCCUUUUCUCUCGCGCGUGCCGGGGACGCAUCGGGGCCGGCGCGAAAGAAAACGUUUGUAGUCAAACCAAUUUGUUAUGGAAACCCACUACAAAGACUUUAAUCUGCAAAGCCCUCCCCAUGACAUGUAAAUUUCAUUUUAUAAAAGCUGUUACUUCAGAAGCCAAACACUUGAGAAAGAAACCCCCUAUGUUGGCCAUCAUGCGCUGGUCCUUCAGACACUCCAUCAUCAUGUUAGCAGGCUUGGGCCUCCUGUGGUUUUUCAUCAAUUUGGGAACCUCAAAGAUGAAUGAAAACAUCUAUCUGCUGAGAUCUUAAGAGAAACUUCUGAAGGCUGAAACUUGUGCUAUUCCCAGGAAACAAAGUGGUCCUUCCACUAGAAGUUCAGCUCCCAGAGUGCAAAAUACCUUCAGGAGAACUCAUCUAAUGUCCAAAGGAAAGUCUCCCAUCUCACCUACCAAUUUCUGGCUGGAGCCCUGCCACUAAAAAAAAAAAACAGAUCUGAGAUACAAAUGGAGAAAUGGGAUGGUGGAAUUUGCCCAGGAAUGAAGAUUCAGAAAUCACUAAUGAAUUUACCAGCUAAAGAGAAAAUGGUACCAGAUUUUUCUAUUCAAACUAAUAACAGUCACUUCUCUCUGGAUGGUCCAUGUCUCACUACUGGACUCUAAAGACUGGAGGAGAGAAUGAGGCUGAUGGCAGUUCUGUCUUACAUCCAACUCAAGGGCAAAUCAAAACAUCACUCUUGUGGGGCUGACAGGACACCAUUUGAACCUUCCUAACAAAGAAAUGAAGAAUCCCAAGACCAGAGUUCUAAAACCUAGGAUAACCAAGAAAGUCUAAAAUAGCACCUCAGGUUGGGGUUGGGUUGUCCUUAUCCUUGAUCUCCACAGCAAGGUGAGAGAAGGGGCACAGGAGUUAAAGGGGAUAGGUCCCUCAAUUCACUAAAUACUUAUUAAGUAUCUCCUAUGAAUUAGGCAUUGUGCUAAGCUCUGGGAUACAAUAAAAAAAAAAAAAUCUCCUGGUCUCAACAAUAACUUCAUACUAAUAACUUUCUCCAUUUCUGAUCUAUUUAUCAGGGAAGGUCUGGGUGCUAGCUCUAUCUUCUUAGUUUUGAUUGCCUCAGAUCAAAUAAAGCGUUUUUAUUCUCUUGAGUAUCCAGUAACUUCUCUCACUACCCAAGAAAGCCAGCUCCCUGUUUCCCCUGAAGAUACAAGUGCAGUGAAUACAACUACUGGGACCCACUCAGGCUUAUCCGUUAGGUGUUUAAAACUAGUGCAGAUUUAUAGUUACUGUAUUCCCAGACCAAAUACUAGGGAUCACCCCGACUGCUCCCUCCCC